rfam:Schistosoma mattheei strain Denwood, Zambia genome assembly, scaffold: SMTD_scaffold0003301
GCACUGCUGAGGAGUCCCAAAAUGGGACGAAACGGCCGUCCAGUGC